AACGAACGCUGGCGGCAGGCCUAACACAUGCAAGUCGAACGCCGUAGCAAUACGGAGUGGCAGACGGGUGAGUAACACGUGGGAACGUACCCUUCGGUUCGGGAUAACUCAGGGAAACUUGAGCUAAUACCGGAUACGUCCGAGAGGAGAAAGAUUUAUCGCCGAGGGAUCGGCCCGCGUCUGAUUAGCUUGUUGGUGAGGUAACGGCUCACCAAGGCGACGAUCAGUAGCUGGCUGAGAGGAUGAUCAGCCACAUUGGGACUGAGACACGGCCCAAACUCCUACGGGAGGCAGCAGUGGGGAAUAUUGGACAAUGGGCGCAAGCCUGAUCCAGCCAUGCCGCGUGAGUGAAGAA
rnacentral:rRNA from 1 species